GGCGACGUAGCUCAGUUGGCUAGAGCAUUCGGUUCAUACCCGAAGGGUCAUGUGUUCGAAUCACAUCGUCGCUACCA
rnacentral:tRNA from 2 species